rnacentral:rRNA from 1 species
UACGUAGGGGGCAAGCGUUGUCCGGAAUCAUUGGGCGUAAAGCGCGUGUAGGCGGCUCGGUAAGUCUGCUGUGAAAGUCCAGGGCUCAACCCUGGAAUGCCGGUGGAAACUGUCGGGCUAGAGUCCGGAAGAGGCGAGUGGAAUUCCUGGUGUAGCGGUGAAAUGCGCAGAUAUCAGGAGGAACACCGGUGGCGAAGGCGGGUCUCUGGGCCGAUACGUGACGCUGAGGCGCGAAGGCUAGGGGAGCGAAUGGG